rnacentral:lncRNA from 10 species
GGCAGCGCGACGCCGGGUGGCCCAGCAGCGGGCGGGUGCCGGGGGCGGAAGCGCGGCCACAAGAGGGGGCGAUUCACCGCCGCCCCCCGUGGGACCUGGGUCCUCUACGCGGGACCGCAGGGGCCCCGAGUCGCGGGUUGGGCAAGGUCGCCCGCUCCGGGUCGCUCGGAAGGGUCAUUUCACGGACCGGUCGUCUGGGGCCAGUGCGUCUUGCCCCGCACGGAAGACCCCUCGCUUCGAGGACAGGAAAGCUUUUAAAGUGAGGAUUGGCUCGCCGCGCCUCCCGCAGAGGGGAACGCCGCCCGGACCCGCGCUCCUGGGGCGGGGGCCUCGUAUGCUGGCGUUGCCGGAGCGUCUGCGGCGCUGAAGGCUGCCGAGACCCAGCCACAUCCCCCACAAGCCAGCAGCCCGGCAGAAAAUUACAUAAAAUGCAGCGCUUCGCCGAGGGGGUGCGAGUCGGGGGAGCAGCGCGCAGCUGCGGCUGACGGCUCGGCUGGAUCCAUCCAAGCAUGGACAGGAAAACGGGACUGUGGGGAGAGGGUGGUGCAGACGGGCCGCAGACCCUCCUUAGGAAGAGAAGCCGGAAACUAGGGAGUCAUGUGCAGUUAGAAUCCUCUUGGAAGACUAGUAGGAUGUGAGGUUGGAGAGGUGGACGACGACCAGAAAAUUCCCUUGUCUUGCCAGGCUUCUGACCUAACUAUGAGUUUCCUCCGCGCAUCCAGCCUGCCCUGCUCUGGCCCCUAAAGUACAGCAGUAACACUCAGUGGUGUCCCUGCCUUCCUGGAAUGCGCGUUAACAAUUCUGAUUCUUACUCAUGGCAAUAACCUACACACCACAUAGACGUUAAAUGUGGUUCGGGUCAGACUCUAGGGCAGGACUCACUGCCUGCACCUUGUCUUGGCUCCACCAGCUUGACCUUGAGCAAGUCACAACCUGUGGGUCUCAGUGUUCCUUACUAGUAAACCGUAGGUAAUUCCUCACUAGUAAACAGAUAAUAUUUGUGCCUGUCUCAAAGUUGUGAGGAUUUAAUGAAUUUGUGUUCCUGGUAUACAGUAAGCACCGUGUACAAGUUGGCUUUUAUUUACACCAAAUAGCAAAAGCUUUUAUUUAUUUUGAGACAGGGUCUUGCUCUCAGGCUGGAGUGCAGUGGCGCGAUCUCACCUCACUGCAACCUCUGCCUCCCGGGUUCCAGCGAUUCUUGUGCCUCAGCCUCCCGAGUAGCUGGAAUUGCAGGCAAGCGCCACCACGUCCGGCUAAUUUUUAUAUUUUUAUAUUUUUAGUAGGGACGGGUUUCACCAUGUUGGCCAGGCUGGUCUCGAACUCCUGGCCUCAGGUGAUCCACCCGCCUUGGCCUCCCGAAGUGCUGGGGAUUACAUGCAUGAGCCACUGCGCCUGGCCAAAAGCUUUUAUAUAUAUUUAUAAAUGGACAUAGAUAUCUGUGAGGCUGUCGGGUAUGGUGGCUCACGCCUGUAGUCCCAAGCACUUUGGGAGGCCGAGGCAGGCGGAUCACGAGGUCAGGAAAUCAAGACCAUCCUGGCCAACAUAGUGAAACCCCCGUCUCUACUAAAAAUAAAAAAAUUAGCCAGGUGUGGCAGUGCGCGCCUCUAGUCCCAGCUACUUGAGAGGCUGAGGCAGGAGAAUCGCUUGAACCCCGGAGGCGGAGGCUGCAGUGAACCGAGAUCGCGCCACUGCACUCCAGCCUGGGCGACAAGGCGAGACUCCGUCUCCAAAAAAAAAAAGCUAUUUGUGAGGUAACAAUCUAAAUAUGUUUGAGCUAGUGCAACAGUAAGUUAACUCCUUACAUCUGUUAAUUCAGCAAGCACUAACAAGUGAUGGAGAUUAAAAAAAAAAAAGGAAUGAGCCACAGCUUUGCCAUCAAAGACUUCAGCGUCUCUUAGGGGAAACAGAUGUAAGCAAAUAAUGACACGAUUUAGGGCAGAGAUAUAUCAGAAGAUCAGCUUGCCUGUGCGUGGGGGAAAUGUUAGGGAAGUUUGGGUUAUCCAGGCUACAAUGUGUGGAAAGGGAUUUCGCACAUACAAACAACAGAGGGCCAAGACAUGAAUAUGAUUUCUAGUUUAAGGAACCAGAAGUUUAGUAUGACUACUUGGGGUGACUUUGGAGAGGAUGGGACCAUGAUGUCAGAAGUUGAAAUUGGGAGCAAUUGAAAGAUUCUAAGCCAGGAAGGAAUCAUUUUCUAUUUUAGGAUGGAUUUGAGAAAGUUAAGACCAAGAGGCACUUAACAUACCCCUGAAAUAGAAAAGAAAUGAUGCAUGAGGGCGUUGGUCAUAAGGAUAGAGAAGAGACAAGAUCAGAAGUAUGUAGGACAGUAAAUCUGCAAGAUGAAGUUGGGGUGAAAUAAAAACCACAAAAAUCUCGUUUGGGGCUUUCCAAGGUUGUGCCAACAAAUAAGGUAGGGCAUACAGGCUGGUAGCUAGAUUGUUAAGAUGAGUAACUGCUUGCAACAACUUGAUUAUUUGAAGUUACAGUGCAUAGAUGACUGUGGGACAGUGAUCUGAUGCUGCAAGAUUACCAGUGUUACCAAAUGACAAAGACAUCAAGAGGGGAGAAUUUAAACUUUCAAUGAUUGACCAAGGAGUUGUGCAUUUCAUUUUGUAACAAGGGCGUAAGAUUAAAAACCCCCUAAAGAUAUUACAAGAAUUUAUAUCCCAAGCUCUGGUCAUUGUCCAAAAUUAUCGUUCUGAUACUGGCACCAUGAUAACCAUUACAAGAGAUCAGAAAUGAUGACACGAGCCCAGACACAGUGGCUCACACCUGUAAUCCCAGCGCUUUGGGAGGCCAAGGCCAGAGGACUGCUUGAGCCCAGGAGUUCGAGACCAGCCUGAGUAACAUAGUAAGACCCCAUCUCUACAAGAAAUAAAAAAUAGCCAGGGGUGGUAGGUGUGUACCUGUAGCCCCAGCUACUUAAGAGGCUGAGGCAUGAGAAUGGCUAGAGCCGGGGGGGAUUGACGCUGCAGUGACCCAUGAUCACAGCACUGCUCUCCAGCCUAGGCAGCAGAGCAAGACCCUGUCUCAAAAAAAAGACACGAUGACAUGAGUUUUCCUUUACAAGAGCCUUGGGAGUCCUUUUACAACUUACUAUCACAUUCAUGACAAAUAUUCUUUCUAAAUUUUGAAUAGGAACAAAGAUUUCUAACAAGAGAGAGAAUAUCUUCCCGAUUCGACUCCCAUAUGUCAAGAGACUCAGAUGUGACUCAUAUUUGCCUGCCAGGAGGAGGAAAAAGAAAUACACUGUCCAGGAGCAACUCCUUAGUGGGUACCCACCAGAAGUGGUCUCCAAACAAGGCAAGAAUCUGUGUAUUCCUCACACAAUUCAAUCCCAGCCAUUCCAUAUGUACACACUGAGGUUUGCUUUUGGGUAAAUGGAAAUAACUUUAGAGUUUCACCACAAGAAAGCUACAUGGUAAGCAAGUGUUGGAAAAUCUUAACAGUGGGUGACAUUAAGCUAUAGGGUUGCAUUUUCAAGGGAACCAACAUCUUAUGCCGUGGCAAGCAACUCCUGACUGGAUAAACAGCUCUUAGAUGUCAUUGAUAGGCUCAAGCUGAGGCGCAGAGGAAGUAUGGCCCAAGGGCAUAUAGCUGGUAAGUGGUGGCUGGACUGCAAUCCCAAGUAGACAGUAUUAUCUUAGACUGAAACACAAACACUGCAAAGUCCAUUCUCCCUUGGCCACGUUUCACAAAAGAGGAAAUGGGACCUGAAAAUUAGGAGACUUACACAGGAUUGCACAGCUAGCGCAUCAGAGAGCUGACAUUUGGAAGCCCACGUGAUAAGUACGUGUGUAAUCUCAUUUACCGCAGGCAACUCUUAGAUUCUGUUAUUCCCAUUUUAAGAAUGAGGAAACUAGUCUGGGCGUAGUGGCUCUCGUCUGUGCUAUCAGCACUUUGGAAGACCAAGGCAGGAGGACCGCAUGAGCCCAGGAGUUCAAGGCUGGUCUUAAACAUAGUGAGACCCUCUCUCUACAAAAAAUUAAAAACUUAGUCCAUGCAUGGUGUUGGGUGACUGUAGUUUGAGCUAUUUGGGGAGACUGAGGCAGGAGAUCACUUGAGCCCAGGAGUUUAAGGCUGUCACAAGCUAUGGUGGUACCACUGUGCUCCAGCCUGGGCAACAGAGCGAGACCCUGUCUCAAAAAAGAAUGAGGAACUAAGGCUAAUAAAGUUUAAGAAUUUGCCUAAAAAUGGAAAGCUUUUUUUUUUAAUCUGUCUGUGAAUGAGAGGAAAAUAAAAUUCAGUAAGGCCUUCCAAAUCACCACUUAGGAAGCCCAACAACGUUAAAUAUGAAUGCAUAUCUAGAAAAUGGUGACCAAAGAAGUCUGGUUCCAACAAUUCACAUAAGAGAGUGGUCAAAAUGGAAUGAAUUAGUAGAUUAGAGUCCAUUUCAAAAGACUCUGAAAAAUGAGAUAAGGAAAUCUGUGAGCAAUGGAGAACAUGCAAAACAACUCAGAUACCUAAUCCAAAGCCUAAUAUUAGUUUUAAUGCAAAUUUGUGUUAACUGAAUUUAGGUUCAUUCAGGAGGCUGUGCUGAUGUUGAUGUACACACAACAUCAGCAUACCUCUGAAGGGCAGGAAGUAGAUGACGUUGGACCUCCAGAACACUAUACCACAAACUGGAUCAGCACCUAGAGGUGAAAUUAAAUGCACACAAAAACCUGGAUCACUUCAUUCAUUCAUUCAACAAAAUAUGUGUUAAAAGUCUUCCCUGGCUCCUGGGCUGUUUUUUGUUUUGUUUUUUUCCGCUUUAGAGACAGUAUGUCAUUCUGUCACACAGGCAGGAGUGCAGUGGUACAGUCAGAGCUCACUGCAGCCUCGCAGUCCUACCGCUGAGUACUUGAGACUACAGGUGUGCACCACCAUGCCUGGCUAAUUUUUUACUGUUUUUUAGAGAUGCGGGUCUUGCUCUGUUGCCCAGGCUGGUCUCAAACUCCUGGCCUCAAGUGAUCCUCCCGCCUUGAUCUUCCUGGACUUCUGUUGGAUAAAUUCCCUAGGAAGAGGAGAGUUAACACUUCGAUAGAUUUUAUUUAUUUAUUUAUUUUUUAGAGACAGGGUCUCACUGCAUUGCCUGGCCUUAAGUGACCCUCCUGUCUUGGCCUUCCAAAGUGCUGGGAUUACAGGCGUGAGCCACCACACCUGGACUUUGAUCGAUUUUUGGAGGACUUUCAAAGUAAAAAUGAAGAAGGUAUCUGAUCUUUUGAUAAGCCCUUAGUCACUAGUAGAUAUUAUAUUGCAUUUAAUUCCUGAUGCCCUUCCUCCACCUACUAGUGGUGUCAUCUUUCCCACAGGACCUUUUCUUCCUUUUAAGUCUAACCCAACCAGCUGUCCCCUUAAUGCUACUUGUCCCUGCCUUCCUCAGCAAAUUGUUUCCACAUUUAUCUCUUCCCUCUCCAACUUCUGCCUCUCCCUUGCCAUUGGCUUCUGUCCUAUUUGUUCCCAGCUUGCAGGCGCUGGCCCAUGUCUGUCUCCAAGUCUUACUCGUUCUUACUUUGAAACAUUUCUCACAGCACUAGAGAAAACACAGUGUGGUUGGACAAGACCUUGGGAACAUGGGAGCUGGGAUCAGAAUGUGUCUGUGUUUGGAUGUCGGAGUUGGGCAACCUCUUGGCUCGGAUAUUUUUCUGUUCGUUUUGUUUAAUAAUCUUUAAAAUAAGCAUGACAACUAAUAACAUUUAUUGGAUAUGUUUGUAUGCUGGACACUGUCCUAAAUCAUUUCCAUGCAUUAUUUAAGGAUCAUGAGACAGCUAGAGGUGUUUGUGAGCAUUUCCAGAGAGCAUGCCUGUGAAGCUCGCUGAACAAUGCCCAGCUCUCAACAUGACCCUGUUAUAUAAGAAUAAUUCUUUUUCUCUCCAUUCCCACUUAGUUCAGGCCCUCAAUCAUCAACAAGCAUCCUCCUUAAAGUUCUCCCUGACUCUCCACCUAAUUAAUCCUGUCAUUUUAUUUUUUUCUUUUCAUUUAUUUAUUUUUAUUUUCUUUGCCACUUCUGUAUCUUCUUUGGAGAUAAUCCUGUCACUACUUUUAAAAACCUUAAGUGCAACUUAACAUAUUGCUUCCCUGUUCACGUCUUUCUCAUUCGCUGUCACCUCAAACCCAAACUCCUUGGCUUGCUUUUAACACUGUGGAGGACAUUCUACUCUCCUCCCUCCCUGCUCCACACCCAGGAAAGAUGACUGUGCAGUAAAGCCAUGGCUCGCUUGCCCUUGAGUUUCCAAUGGGAUUCAUCUGGUAAGAGGCCUCAGCCAGAGAUGGAAGGGUGGGAGGAGAGUGAGGUUGGAGUUUCCAUUUUCCCAGCUCCUUUCCUGCCAAGCCACAGGUUGAUAGUAACUGCUAUUUGUGUGCAUAUAGAGACCCUCUCUUUGCACAUAGAGACCCUCUCUGGGCUUUAAGACCACUGCCUCCCCUGCCCCUUAAGGAGUUGGGCUUCCCUUUUUUUUCUUGUUGAAACAGUGUCUCAGUCUGUCAUCCAGGGUGGAGUGCAGUAGUGCAAUCACGUCUCACUGCAGCCUCGAUCUUUCAGGCACAAUUGAUCCUCCCACCUCUGCCUCCCAGGUAACUGGGACUACAGGCACCCACCACCACAACUGGCUAGUUUUUGCAUUUUUUCUACAGACGGGGAUUCACCAUGUUGUCCAGGUUGGUCUCGAACUCCUGGGCUCAAGCAAUCCUCUGGCUCAGCUUCCCAAAGUGCUAGGAUUAUAGGUGUGACUACCAUACCCAAGCCGUUAAUCUCUUUUCAAAAACCUUAGAGUCAUAUCUUUUUUUUUUUUUUUUUUUUUGAGACAGAAUCUUGCUCUCUUGCCCAGGCUGGAGUGCAAUGGCAUGAUCUCGGCUCACUACACCCUCCGCCUCCCAGGUUCAAGCAAUUCUGCCUCAGCCUCCCCAGUAGCUGGGACUACAGGUGCACACCACCACAUCCAGCUAAUUUUUGUAUUUUUAGUAAAGACAGGGUUUUACCAUGUUGGCCAGGCUGGUCUCGAACUCCUGACCUCAGGUGAUCCACUUGCUUUGGCCUCCCAAAGUGCUGGGAUUACAGGCGUGAGCCACAUGCCUGGCCAGAGUCAUAACUUUUAUAUCAUACAUGCAACUCAUCAGUAAACCAUCCAAUUAGCUUACCUUCAAAAUGUAUCCAGAAUCUAAGCACUUCUCAUCCGGAAGAG